rnacentral:misc_RNA from 1 species
UUCUGAACUUGUAAAGCAACAAUAUCAACAAAUUGAUAGUUUUUCUCUUGAAGUCUCAUUGCCUUCGGUUGUAACAGAAAAUGAUCAAGCAGUUUGGUUGUAUAUGAAGAAUAAGUACCGCCAUGAACUUUGGUUCCAAGAGAAGGCUGAAUGUCAAUUCAUUUCUACAAAAGACAUCUUCAAACUAUUAGUGAUAAAUCCAUUACAAAGAUUGUUGGGUGUAAAAUCUACUCAAAGUUCUUUUCGCGUUCGCUUAACAUACUCACAUUCUGAUGCAUUAACAAGAGAUGACGUUCAGGAAGGGAAUGGAG